AAUCUUUAAAAAAAAAAAGAAAAUUACAUGUUGCUUUUUAAUUACGAAGUAAUACUUGCUGGUAAAAAUUCAGAUAAUAAAGGUGCAUAAACCAAAGGGUAUAAUUCUUAAUCCCCAUUGCUGUGCUGUCUUGUUCCCAGGAAGUAGUAUUUUAACAGGGCUGUUUCUUUCUCUGCUUCUUUGCAUUCAUAUACAAACAACCCAGACCCAUCCCUUCUCCCCUCCCAACCAUUUUAAUACAGAGAGAGCCACUUCAUUAUCUUUAGCAAUUGCAUGGUUUUCCUUUAUGGAGAUACACAGUAUUUUAUUUUAAUCCUCUCCUGUCAAUGAACAUUGUUUACGAUUUUGAAUAUCCUUGUUCACGUGUGCAAAUAGCUCUUCAGAUUAAAUUCCUAGUUGUGGAACUGCAAAGUCAAGUAAAUGCUCUUUUAAAUUUGCAUAGUUAUCAUCAGGAUUUCUCCCCAAAAGAGAUCGCAGAAAGAGUCCAAGCAGCGGUGCAUCAGCAUUCCCGCUUUCUCACAUCACCGCCAACAUUGGUUAUAGACAACCUUUUGCGUUUUGCUACAUUUCAGCCCUUCAGCAGCCAUGUGUGGCUCGAGGCUGCCUGUACUGGACAAAGGAGCUCCAGACAAUUCUUUCUCAAUCUGAGAGGUAAAAAUGGCAUCUCAUCCUCUUAAUUUGGGUUUCUUAGGAACCUAGUGAGGAUGAACAGCUUUUCCAUAAACAUAACUGGUUUGACUGGUCCUUGAAUCCAGUUGAGCUCUCCCAGGAUAUCUGUCAUAAUUCUCAGCUCCAGCUCUCCCCAGCUCAGCAGGAGCCCCCGGGCGCAAGAACAGGAGCUGUUUCUCCCCAGUGCCCUGCACAGUUCCCAGGCACACAGUAGGCGUUCUCUAUAUAUUUAUCAAAUCAGAGUGAGAACACAUUUCGCAGUAUCAAAAGGAGAGUGUAAUUUGGAGUUGAGAGGAGAAUGUUGAAAUAAUAUUCUCCGAAGUUUUAAAAUGUGAAGACAACCAUAGAUUUCACGUAGAUAUCCAAAGUCUACCUCCAUGUAUUAAUUAUUUCUUACACCCCUAUCAAGUUUCCAAUAAAUCCAGCUUGUGAAAUUCUGUCUUUAUCACAUUAAGGAUAAAUAACCAAAUACCUCCUUAAGUUCUGCUUUCCUCCUAGUGAUGUGAAAUUUUACGUCGAGAUCAGAGGACAUCAUACAAAUUAGUUCAUCUUCCUGGUGAUGGGGGAGGUGGGCAGAAUCAUUAAGUUAAUAAGCAGGGAAAACACAGUGCAACUCUGACUUUACUGGUUGGCUUUUAUAGUAGGUUGUGGACAGGAAAGGUGCUGUGCACUGGUGAGAAAAGCCUUUUUGAUAGGACCCAAACAAGCCAGCGGAGAGAGAGUGCACACUCAUCUCCUGGGGAAUGCUCACUGCUGUACCUGUCACUGACAACCUGUGUCACACCUUACUCUCAAGAAUUUUGAAUUCCUUUUGUUUUUCAAAACUUCCUGGUAUUGUAGACCUCUUUUCUCAAGCCAUGAACUUACCCAGAGGGAUGGGCAAUUGAAUAUUCAGACACAGAAGGAGUUCUGGUGUUCAACUUGGGGUUUCUCAACCUUGGCCAUCUGUGGUCAUCUUUGGUACUUGAUCAUUUUAUCUGAAAGCCCAAUCUCUUUGUCUCGGACAGAGUACAGAAUGCAGGCUACUCUGUGAGCCGGCCAGAAGGUGACACAGGGAAGUACAAAUCUAUUCCUCAUCACCAUCGAGGAGAAGUCCAAUUUCUUGGAAGGUAUGCUCUGCUGCGCAAGUCCAAAGAACGGCAAGGGCUGGACGGCCUCAACAACUUGAACUACUUUGCAAACAUCACAUAUGACGCCUUGUAUAAAAACAUUACUGUCAACUUGACACCUGAGCUGGCUCAGGUGACCGAGUACUGAGAUGAGGAGACAAGCUGUGUUUGCUUUACCCACCGCCACCAAGAAAGCCACCUGGGGAGAGGUCUUGGGGCUCCACACAGGAAGAGAAUAGAAAUAUGGUGUCUGAUGAAGGAUCACAGGGUUUGAGGAGAAAAUGUGAACAGAGUACACGCACAAAAUGCCUUCACUGUGGCU